rnacentral:misc_RNA from 1 species
CCACACCGCCAUACCCAAACGCCCGCGGGGAUAUCCUCCGUCGAGGCCUGCGAUUCACGCGGUAGCAUCGCCUGUGACAGUGCGCCACGCCUUCCUCAGUGGUCCUACCCUGCAUGGCACACAAGCGCGCGCACCCUCAGACAUUCUUUCACGUUCAUAGAUGCAAGCCGCCCUCACCACCUCCGCCCCGCGCACUACCUCCCUCCCUCCUUCCCUCUCGUCUCCGCAUCGCAUGUCGCAGCGCCAUAGCAGUGGCGUCGUGUCUGGUCAACUGGCACAGAUGCCCUGGAACGCUAAUGGGCCUGCCGAUGACGACGGCGACGAACUCCGCACGGUGCUGGAAGACGCACGGACGGCGCAGGCAGGCCAUCUUGGGAAGAGUCGGCCCACUCCAGGGCCGUCACUCUCCAGGUUUCCCGUCGCCUCUUCGCCGCAGGGCAGCGGCCAUGACCACCUUCGACACCGCGACAACGCGGACGUUGACCUGUGGGAGACGAGGCAAGCGCAGGAGCUCGGGGACGACUUCUUCGCCCUCUACACGUCGCAGGCCGACGCUGCGUCGCCUAAUGGCCGCAGUGGUCGUGGUGGUGUGACGCCCUCGUCCGCCAACGCGUCUGCGACGGCCGCCGGCUCCCGCGGCGACGGCGACGAUGUUGCCUCUCCCAGCGACCAGGAAGACGAAGGGGCUAGCCGCGACAACGACGUAGAUGUGCCUGGCGAGGUGCGGGUGGGCCGAGCCGAUGACCACCAUGCGCAGCAGUCGCAGUACGUGCCGGAGUGCACCGAGGACUUGGAGGAGGAAGACGGCAUCGCCGACUCGAGCGAGUCGCCGGUGGUAUCAGAGCAGCCAGUGGAAGGGUUCAGAAGAGAGGCUCAACAGCCGCCGAGCCGCUCAGGCACCACACCAGCAACAGAGAGGCCAUGGCAGCCGGAGUGCUGGCCCCACCCUCACCCGCCUCCCUUCGCCGCACUUCCGCGUCCGCGUCAGACGCGCGUGACUUUCCACACGCAACGCUACGGCGCCUUCAUCAAGGCUUACCUUGGCCUCUCCGACGCUGAGGUGGAGCAGGCGCAGCGACGCGGGAGGGGUAUCUGCAUGAUUGGAGUUCGCAAGGCGCCUCCAUCGAGCUCGCACCUUGCCGCAAGCGCCUCCUACGCUACCCCUUUCUCCCCACCCUCGUCAUCAUCGGCGUCAGCGACGGCAACCGGCUACACCUUCCAGCCCAUGCACCGCCGCCACUCGCACCACGGCUUUGGCGAGCCCGUGAAAGUUCAGCGGGCAUUUCUGCGGCACUCCGUGCUGGCGGUGGAGGGCGAUGCCGUGUUCAGCGAGCUGAUUGACCGGGCCGAGGUGCUGUAUGCCGUCGAGCAGCACCGACUCGAUGCGGCGUGGAAGACGUACGCACACGACACCGGCGCUGCCGGGGAGGACGCGGCAGCCGCGGCCGCAACGACGGUGUCUGGCACACCAGCACAGCCUCCGCUAUACCCGCAGUUCCGCAAGCUGCCGCGUGUGACGGAGCCGUACCUGCGCCCCAACGCGCGCUGCAUUGCCCUUCACUACGGUCUGCCGGGCAGGGCAGCCUCUGAUAGUAACGAUGGCAGCGCCGGAAGGAUGGCCACCGACACGGCGGCCGUGAAGCCGAAGGAAGGCGAAGGUGAAGAGGGAAAGCCACACACGCAUCGCACGUCUAGUACAUCAGUGCCACCAAACCCGUACCCCCGGGCGUCGUUGAUGGCAGUGGUGUGUACCACGCGGUUGGAGGAGGGCGAGGAGAUCUACGUAUCGCUGGAGUCGUACUACCGCUGCCUUGACGAGGUCUCGUGGUACCGGCGCUGCUAUAGCGAGUUAAACAAAAAGUGCGGGUGUCCUGAUGGUGUCACGGCCCCGUGCACUGCCGCCGAGGGCGGCGGUGGCAUGAAGGAGGCCACCGCCGGCCAAGAGGACCUGAUCGGUAACGUGUACACGGGUGUCAAGCGCUUCCCCGAGUGGCCGGCCCACCUGGCCUACUACCACGGCGUGGGACGGCGGCAUGCGAGCCACGUCGCGGAGGCCGCCUUUCCUUUCACGCUGGUCUCCCUCGCCCCGGCGCCGGAGCUGGGAGAUAAUCAGAAGGGCGUUGUCGCCUCCGCCUGGCUGCCCUACGGCACGUGCCUGUUGUACUGCGGCCCCGCCGUGGCGACGCGCAAGGUGGAGCGGCUCGUUAGCGAGCGUGCGUUGCGCGGUGACAACGCAGUGGCCCACACCAAGACCACCGCCCAGCAUGAGGCACAGACACAUCCAGGGGGGGAGGAGGAGGAGGACGAUCUAUCCUUCGUCACGGACGACACCUACGCGCUGGGGCUCGGGCGCCACGGCGUGUGCUUCGGCCAGGGCCUCACCCGCUACAUCAAUCACCGCUACAACGCGUCCCGGUUUGGCAACGUGGAGCUGUGCUCGGUGAUACUGUCUGUGCCCAGCGAAUUCGCCAGCGCACAGGGGACGGCGGCGGCCCCUGCUGGUGGCCCGGAGGAGCUGAAGAGCGCGGGUGAGAGGGUUAUCACAAAGUCCGCUGGCGUGGAUGCAUCGCCGUCCCUGACGGCCGAGGAGCGGGUGCAGGUGGUGCGUGCCGCAACAGCGAAGCGGCCCUACCAUCGACGUCGCGUGCAGAGGGCUAAGAAGGGGCCGCCUCCCCCCGUCGCGGUGGCCAGUGGCGCUGCUGCCGUGCCUGCCGCUGCGGUGGACGACCGUCUCGCCGCCCUGUACGCGAAGCCCAAGCGACGGCCGCCGCGCCGCCGCGCGCCGUGUCUUUUUCUCGAAGAACGCAGUUUCUUCGUGACGGUCCCCUUCUUCCUGGCUACCACCGACAUCCCGCCCGGCACGUCGCUGCUCGCGUGGACCUACGGCGAGGACUACGACGCUAAGCUGGAGCGACAGGCCGUGGCCGAAGGCCACGUGGUACCCUACGCCGAUGCCGUGCUGCUCAACCGCCGCCUUGCAGCGUCACCGGCGACAGGCUAUCGGUUCCAGCGCUACAACGGCGAUUACCGUUUUGCAGUCGGUGUAGGCGAUGUCGUCUGGCGUCGGCGGCCCGUGCGCCUUGGCAUCCCGUCCUCCUCUGUCGACUGCGCCGGCGGCCACGACAUCGUCGAUGUGUACGUGCCGCCGCCGGAGGAGGACCUCUUCGUCGUCGUGCAGACGCUGCGGUCGAGUGUCGAGAGGGUCCUCCUGCGGCCGCUGGAGCGCGUCCCGCUCACGAGUCGGCAGCUGGACACCCUCUUGAGGGAGCAGCACCUAGCCGACUACGUGUCCCCACACGCCCCGAGUAACGCGCGGCUGGGCCCGCAGAAGGGGCGGCGCCGAGUCGGUCGCCCGCCGUCGGCGAACUCGAAGCGACAGCGAGCGGCAGCGCUCACCCACGACUGUGCGGCGCAUUGGGCGGUGUUUCGGCUAACGGACAUCAGCGCCUUGGCACCCGCACCCUUCGCCGGGACGUCAUCCUGCCUCACACCGCACGCCCUCUCCCGCUACGAGGAGGCGCUGCGAACGUGCGUCGUGGCAACGACCGAUUCCGUGGGACUGCUGCUCAUGGACAUCGACUACAGCGCCGUGCACCGCACCCGAGACACCGGCGGCGAGGCGAGCGACACGGGCGCGCCGCGGCGGAUCACGGGCGAUUCGCAAGGAUCGACGGCUCGGGCAUCGCCGGGCGGUGCGGGUGGGCCCGCCGCCAACCAAAGCGCCGGUCGCGGUGGCGAGAGCGCGGCGCACCGUCUCAUCCUCGUGAACCUCGAUGAUCUGCACCACGCCACGUCCCUGGUGCGGACGUCGCCGGGGCGGGCGGCAGCCGUGCCAGCGCUCUGCAACGGUCUUCUGUGGCCCCUCUAUUGCAUGUCGCAAAGGCCGCGCGCUGCCGCGGCGGCGGCGUUCGGUGCUGCAGACGAUGUUCUUCGCGCGCGCCCCGGUAGUCGCGUCUGACCGUGUAUGUGCCCGCCGCUACGAGCAGUCCCCACCCAGCCACCCACUCCACCCCACCCCUUUCCGCGCAUCUGCUUUGUGAUACCCGACGCAAUCGUGGCGGGCGCACGCGGCGUCGUGUAGUACGUGGUGGGUCGGUCUCAUCGUGUCGUGUCCCCUCCAACUCCUCACUCGCCCCACCCUGCGCAGGCUCUCAUGGGAGCGCCUGCCCAUGUCGCGGGCAUUUGUAUGCGUGCUCUGGCCGCGAGUUGCCCUCUCCUCUUCACUUCGUCCUCUCGGUCUUUCUCCGCCUUCACGUCAG